rnacentral:rRNA from 1 species
AGAGCGAACGCUGGCGGCAGGCUUAACACAUGCAAGUCGAGCGCCCCGCAAGGGGAGCGGCAGACGGGAGAGUAACACGUGGGAACGUACCCUUCAGUUCGGAACAACCCAGGGAAACUUGGGCUAAUACCGAAUACGUCCGUAAGGAGAAAGAUUUAUCGCUGAAGGAUCGGCCCGCGUCUGAUUAGCUAGUUGGUGAGGUAACGGCUCACCAAGGCGACGAUCAGUAGCUGGUCUGAGAGGAUGAUCAGCCUCACUGGGACUGAGACACGGCCCAGACUCCUACGGGAGGCAGCAGUGGGGAAUAUUGGACAAUGGGCGCAAGCCUGAUCCAGCCAUGCCGCGUGGAUGAUGAAGGCCCUAGGGUUGUAAAAGUCCUUUUCGGCGGGGAAGAUAAAUGACGGUACCCGCAGAAGAAGCCCCGGCUAACUUCGUGCCAGCAGCCGC